rnacentral:rRNA from 1 species
GAUCCUGGCUCAGAUUGAACGCUGGCGGCAGGCUUAACACAUGCAAGUCGAACGGUAGCAGGUAAGUACUUGUACUUAUGCUGACGAGUGGCGGACGGGUGAGUAAUGCUUGGGGAUCUGGCUUAUGGAGGGGGGAUAACGACGGGAAACUGUCGCUAAUACCGCGUAGAAUCGAGAGAUGAAAGUGUGGGACCUUCGGGCCACAUGCCAUAGGAUGAACCCAAGUGGGAUUAGGUAGUUGGUAGGG